rnacentral:lncRNA from 1 species
UCUGUUUUGUCAGAGACUAGAAUUGCAACCCCUGCUUUUUUCUUUUGCUUUCCAUUUGCUUGGUAAUUUUUCCUCCAUCCCUUUAUUUUCAGUCUGCGUGUGUCUUUGCAGCAAAGACAUGGAAUCGACCUAGCUGCUCAUCAGUGAUGAAACAGACAAAGAAAAUGUUGGAAUAUUACACAGCCAUAAAAAGAAUGAAAUAAUGUCAUUUGCAGCAGCCUGGAUGGAAUUGGAGGCCAUAAUACUAAGCAAAUUAAUGCAAGCACAGAAAACCAAAUACCUACUGUUCUCAUUUAUAGGUGGGCGCUAAACAUUGAGCAUAUAUUGACAUCGAUAUGGGAACAAUAGAUACUGUGGACUACUAAAGGGUGGAGUGAGAGAAGAAAGCAUGGAUUGAAAAACUGAUUAUUGUGUACUAUGUUCACUACCUGGGUCCAGUAUACCUAUGUAACAAUGCUACACAUGUAUCCUCUGUACCUAAAAUAAAAGC